rnacentral:rRNA from 1 species
AUUGAACGCUGGCGGCAGGCCUAACACAUGCAAGUCGAACGAGUGGCGGACGGGUGAGUAAUGUCUGGGAAACUGCCCGAUGGAGGGGGAUAAAUACUGGAAACAGUAGCUAAUACCGCAUACCAUCGGAUGUGCACAGAUGGGAUUAGCUAGUAGGUGUGGUAACGGCUCACCUAGGCGACGAUCCCUAGCUGGGCUGAGAGGCUGACCAGCGCAUGGGGAGCUGAGAUGCGGUGCAGACUCCUACGGGAGGCAGCGUUGGGGAAUAUUGCACAAUGGGCGCAAGCCUAACUCGGCCAUUCGGCGUGUAUGAAGAAGGCCUUCGGGUUGUAAAGUACUUUCAGCGAGGAGGCGUUACUCGCAGAAGAAGCACCGGCUAACUCCGUGCCAGCAGCCGCGGUAAUUC